GAAUUUUAUAUAAUUAGAAGUAAUAAAUUUAAUUUAAUAUAAAAAUUUUUAAUUAUAUUUGGUUGGGGGGAUAGUUAAAUAUAUAAAACUUUAAUUAAAAAAAAAUAUUAAUAAGUAAAUUAUGGAAUAUUAGUUAAAUUUUAGAAGAAUUAAUUACCUUAGGGAUAACAGCGUAAUAUUUUUAAAGAGAACGUAUUAAUAAAAAUGAUUGC
rnacentral:rRNA from 1 species